GAGAGACAGUGAGAUGGAGAGAAAUAGAGAGGGCGAGAGAGAGAGGAGAGAGGAGAGGCGAGAGAAAGAAAGAAUAAUUUAAUAUAGUUGCUAUAGACUAAUAGUGUAAUUUACAUACGUUAUGUUACCUUGAGUUUGUAUCUUAUGUACAGUGGAGUAUAUAUCACAUAAGUAAGAUAUAUUAUAAGGAAUUCUUGAUAUUAAUAGAUUUCUAGCAAGUUCCGUCAUUCCCAAGUCACUUGUCAGUUUCACAAGUACUUGCGCAGUUACUUGUAGUUUUAAGUGAUUUUAGGGAAUUUUAGUCUAGUAUAACUUUGUAUUUUGUCUUAAUGCAUUGCAGAAACUCACGACGAUAGAAAGGUAGUAAAGAAAUAGACUAGAAUAGUAGUAGUAGUUAUAGAAGUAGUUUAGAAUAACGUUUUAUUUGUAUAUCCAUUGUACAACAUUCAUAUUACUGUUAAAAAUAAAAGAUUUAAUAUGAAAAAUA